UACGUAGGGGGCAAGCGUUGUUCGGAAUUACUGGGCGUAAAGGGCUCGUAGGCGGCCAACUAAGUCAGACGUGAAAUCCCUCGGCUUAACCGGGGAACUGCGUCUGAUACUGGAUGGCUUGAGUUCGGGAGAGGGAUGCGGAAUUCCAGGUGUAGCGGUGAAAUGCGUAGAUAUCUGGAGGAACGCCGGUGGCGAAGGCGGCAUCCUGGACCGAUACUGACGCUGAGGAGCGAAAGCCAGGGGAGCAAACGGG
rnacentral:rRNA from 1 species